UACGUAGGUGACCAGCGUUGUCCGGAUUUACUGGGCGUAAAGAGUGUGUAGGCGGUGCUCCCAGUCUGUUGUGAAAUCUCCCGGCUUAACUGGGAGGGUGCAGCGGAAACUAGAGUGCUAGAGGGUGGGAGAGGUAAGCGGAAUUCCUGGUGUAGCGGUGAAAUGCGUAGAUAUCAGGAGGAACACCUGUGGUGUAGACAGCUUACUGGACCACUUCUGACGCUGAGACACGAAAGCGUGGGUAGCAAACAGG
rnacentral:rRNA from 1 species